UACGUAGGGUGCGAGCGUUAAUCGGAAUUACUGGGCGUAAAGUGUGCGCAGGCGGCCGAGCAAGUCGAGUGUGAAAGCCCCGAGCUUAACUUGGGAACUGCGCUCGAAACUACUUGGCUAGAGUGUGGCAGAGGGAGGUGGAAUUCCACGUGUAGCGGUGAAAUGCGUAGAGAUGUGGAGGAACACCGAUGGCGAAGGCAGCCUCCUGGGCCAACACUGACGCUCAUGCACGAAAGCGUGGGAGCA
rnacentral:rRNA from 1 species